GUACACUCCUGCGGGAGGCAGCAGUGGGGAAUAUUGGACAAUGGGCGCAAGCCUGAUCCAGCCAUGCCGCGUGAGUGAUGAAGGCCCUAGGGUUGUAAAGCUCUUUCACCGGUGAAGAUAAUGACGGUAACCGGAGAAGAAGCCCCGGCUAACUUCGUGCCAGCAGCCGCGGUAAUACGAAGGGGGCUAGCGUUGUUCGGAUUUACUGGGCGUAAAGCGCACGUAGGCGGACUAUUAAGUCAGGGGUGAAAUCCCGGGGCUCAACCCCGGAACUGCCUUUGAUACUGGUAGUCUUGAGUUCGAGAGAGGUGAGUGGAGUUCCGAGUGUAGAGGUGAAAUUCGUAGAUAUUCGGAGGAACACCAGUGGCGAAGGCGGCUCACUGGCUCGAUACUGACGCUGAGGUGCGAAAGCGUGGGGAGCAAACAGGAUUAGAAACCCCAGUAGUCCCAUGA
rnacentral:rRNA from 1 species